UUACCAAGACUUAAAUGGGAAUUGACAGGUCUAGAAAUAGACCUCCUUCGGGCAAUUCCAAGGUGCCGCAUGGUUGUCGUCAGCUCGUGCCGUGAGGUGUUAGGUUAAGUCCUGCAACGAGCGCAACCCCUGUCACUAGUUGCCAUCAUUCAGUUGGGGACUCUAGUGAGACUGCCUACGCAAGUAGAGAGGAAGGUGGGGAUGACGUCAAAUCAUCACGGCCCUUACGUCUUGGGCCACACACGUAAUACAAUGGCCGGUACAGAGGGCAGCUACCAGGUGACUGGAUGCAAAUCUCGAAAGCCGGUCUCAGUUCGGAUUGGAGUCUGCAACUCGACUCUAUGAAGCUGGAAUCGCUAGUAAUCGCGCAUCAGCCAUGGCGCGGUGAAUACGUUCCCGGGCCUU
rnacentral:rRNA from 1 species